rnacentral:rRNA from 1 species
CCUACGGGAGGCAGCAGUGAGGAAUAUUGGUCAAUGGGCGGAAGCCUGAUCCAGCGAAGUAGCGUGCAGGAUGACGGCCCUACGGGUUGUAAACUGCUUUUAUACGGGAAUAACGCGCCUUACGUGUAGGGCUUUGCAUGUACCGUAUGAAUAAGGACCGGCUAAUUCCGUGCCAGCAGCCGCGGCAAUACGGAAGGUCCGGGCGUUGUCCGGAUUUAUUGGGUGUAAAGGGCGCGUAGGCCGCAUGUCAAGCGUGCUGUGAAAUGUCCGGGCUCAACCCGGGCCUUGCAGCGCGAACUGGCGUGCUUGAGUCCGCGGAGGGCAGGCGGAAUUCGUCGUGUAGCGGUGAAAUGCUUAGAUAUGGCGAAGAACCCCGAUUGCGAAGGCAGGUUGCUGCAGCGGAACUGACGCUGAGGCUCGAAAGCGCGGGUAUCGAACGGGAUUAGAUACCCGAGUAGUC